rnacentral:rRNA from 1 species
CUGGGCGUAAAGGACGCGUAGGGCGGUCAGAUAAGUCAGAUGUGAAAGCCCACGGCUCAACCCGUGGAACUGCAUUUGAAACUGUUUGACUAGAGUCUGGGAGAGGCAGAUGGAAUUGGUGGUGUAGGGGUAAAAUCCGUAGAGAUCACCAGGAAUACCGAUGGCGAAGGCGAUCUGCUGGAACAGUACUGACGCUGAGGCGUGAAAGCGUGGGGAGCAAACAGGAUUAGAUACCCUGGUAGUCCACGCCCUAAACGAUGAAUGCUAGUUGUUGGGGUGCUAGUCACUUCAGUAAUGCAGCUAACGCAAUAAGCAUUCCGCCUGGGGAGUACGGUCGCAGGAUUAAAACUCAAAGGAAUAGACGGGGACCCGCACAAGCGGUGGAGCAUGUGGUUUAAUUCGAAGAUACGCGAAGAACCUUACCUGGGCUUGACAUCCCGAGAACCGACCAGAGAUGGUUGGGUGCUGCUUCGGUAGAACUCGGUGACAGGUGCUGCACGGCUGUCGUCAGCUCGUGUCGUGAGAUGUUGGGUUAAGUCCCGCAACGAGCGCAACCCUCGUCCUUAGUUGCCAGCACUUAGGGUGGGCACUCUAAGGAGACUGCCUGGGUAACCAGGAGGAAGGUGAGGACGACGUCAAGUCAUCAUGGCCCUUAUGUCCAGGGCGACACACGUGCUACAAUGGCGUGUACAAUGAGAGGCGAUACCGCGAGGUGGAGCAAAUCUAUAAAACACGUCCCAGUUCGGAUUGCAGUCUGCAACUCGACUGCAUGAAGUUGGAAUCGCUAGUAAUCGUAGAUCAGCCAUGCUACGGUGAAUACGUUCCCGGGUCUUGUACUCACCGCCCGUCACACCAUGGGAGUUGAUUUCACCCGAAGCGGGGAAGCUAAACCGGCUACCUGCCACGGUGGGAUCAGCGACUGGGGUGAAGUCGUAACAAGGUAAC